GGAUGAACGCUGGCGGCGUGCCUAAUCCAUGCAAGUCGAGCGAACGGACGAGAAGCUUGCUUCUCUGAUGUUAGCGGCGGACGGGUGAGUAACACGUGGAUAACCCACCUAUAAGACUGGGAUAACUUCGGGAAACCGGAGCUAAUACCGGAUAAUAUUUUGAACCGCAUGGUUCAAAAGUGAAAGACGGUCUUGCUGUCACUUAUAGAUGGAUCCGCGCUGCAUUAGCUAGUUGGUAAGGUAACGGCUUACCAAGGCAACGAUGCAUAGCCGACCUGAGAGGGUGAUCGGCCACACUGGAACUGAGACACGGUCCAGACUCCUACGGGAGGCAGCAGUAGGGAAUCUUCCGCAAUGGGCGAAAGCCUGACGGAGCAACGCCGCGUGAGUGAUGAAGGUCCUCGGAUCGUAAAACUCUGUUAUUAGGGAAGAACAUAUGUGUAAGUAACUGUGCACAUCUUGACGGUACCUAAUCAGAAAGCCACGGCUAACUACGUG
rnacentral:rRNA from 1 species